rnacentral:rRNA from 1 species
GGCUUAACAAAUGCAAGUCGAGCGCCCCUCCUUCUAGCAAGCUUGAAGGAUUUACUCCUUGGAAAAGAAGAUCAAGAGCGCUUCUAAGAAGCUUUCUUGAUGGAUGGGACCGGCACACGGGUGAGUAACGCGUGGGAAUCUACCCUUUUCUACGGAAUAACGCAGGGAAACUUGUGCUAAUACCGUAUGUGUCCUUCGGGAGAAAGAUUUAUCGGGAAAGGAUGAGCCCGCGUUGGAUUACCUAGUUGGUGGGGUCAAGGCCUACCAAGGCGACGAUCCAUAGCUGGUCUGAGAGGAUGAUCAGCCACAUUGGGACUGAGACACGGCCCAAACUCCUACGGGAGGCAGCAGUGGGGAAUAUUGGACAAUGGGCGCAAGCCUGAUCCAGCCAUGCCGCGUGAGUGAUGAAGGCCCUAGGGUUGUAAAGCUCUUUCACCGGAGAAGAUAAUGACGGUAUCCGGAGAAUAAGCCCCGGCUAACUUCCUGCCAUCAGCCGCGGUAAUACGAAGGGGGCUAGCGUUGUUCGGAAUUACUGGGCGUAUAGCGCACGUAGGCGGAUCCAUCCGUCAGGGGUGAAAUCCCAGGGCUCAACCCUGGAACUGACCUUGAUACUGUCCAUCCGGAGUAUGGAGUAUGUGAGUGUAAUUCCGAGUGUAAAGGUGAAAUUGCCCGAUAUUCUGAGGAACACCACUGGCGAAGGCGACUCCCUGGUCUCUAACUGAGGUUGACGCGCGACAAUGUGGGGAGUAAACAUCAUUAUAGAACCUGUGAGUCCCCUCCGCACACGAUGAAUGUU